rnacentral:rRNA from 1 species
UCAGAAACUCAAAGGAAUUGACGGGACCCGCACAAGCAGCGGAGCAUGUGGUUUAAUUCGAAGCAACGCGAAGAACCUUACCAGAUCUUGACAUCCAAUUGACCAUCUUUUAAUCGAGAUUUUGCCUUCGGGUACAAUUGAGACAGGUGGUGCAUGGUUGUCGUCAGCUCGUGUCGUGAGAUGUGGGUUAAGUCCCGCAACGAGCGCAACCUUGUGUUUAGUUACAAACAGGUCAAGCUGUGCACUCUAGACAGACUGCCGUGGACAACACGGAGGAAGGUGGGGAUGACGUCAAAUCAUCAUGCCCCUUAUGAUCUGGGCUACACACGUGCUACAAUGGCCGGUACAACGGGCAGCGAAGGAGCGAUCCGGAGCGAAUCCUAAAAAGCCGGUCCCAGUUCGGAUUGCAGGCUGAAACUCGCCUACAUGAAGUUGGAGUUGCUAGUAAUCGCGAAUCAGAAUGUCACGGUGAAUACGUUCCCGGGCCUU